rnacentral:lncRNA from 1 species
CACUUGACCUGCAAGAGACUGUUUGAAUACAUCUUCCCUAAGAGGAUGGACUGAUGCUGCAGGCUGGACAAACCGCCAAGCUGAGCUCCAAGGUCCCCCUGACUGAGCCCUGGGAUCCUCUUGACCUUCAGCAGAACUCCACCUUUGAAGUCCGGUACCCACCAGGCGGCUGGAUGAGCGUGCCUCCAUGCAGGGGCGCUCAGGCAGAAAGUCAGCCAGAGCAGAUGAAACCUGAAUUGUUAUCCCAACCAAAAAUUACAGCACGAUGUUGCCCUCCCUUGUUUUUUUGACAUACACCUGGGUGUUAAAGACCCCUCCAUGUUGACCC